rnacentral:tRNA from 1 species
CAGAGAAUAGUUUAAAAAAAAUUUUAAUUUUGGAGAUUAAAGAUAGGGAGUUUCUUUUUCUCUGA